rnacentral:lncRNA from 1 species
AUGGUCCAGAUGUCGCUGACAAAGGAGGAGUACAGCUGGUUUUCCGACUUCCUCAAAUUCAAGCACUGUCUCUUAGGGGGAAAGAAGGCCCAGCACUUCUUUUUCAAUUCAACAAACACUCAGAUGAAGAACCUGCCUGCCUACCUGAGGGAGGUGUGGAAGGAGAUGGGUCUGCCCGAAUGUCCUUCAUUCACUGACCUGAGGACCUCCAUUGUCACUCAUGUAAAAAACAUGCUCCCAAAGGUUGACAGGGAAAGGGUGGCCAACUUCAUGUGCCACAACAUCCAGACGGCAGACAAAUAUUAUGCCAUGAAUUUAAAUCCAACCCAAGCAAAUGAAACCAGGGCACUCUUUGAGGCUGCACUGAAGGGGGAAGAUAACACAGUCGCCGCAGAGAACCAGCCCUCCACCUCAGGAGAAAGAAAGCAGAAGGUGAGAGAGGAUGCCUCCCUCUCCGACGGGAGCACCACCCCUGAAGAGACCAAGGUGAUGUACCAGGAGUCUGGCACGUCCGCCGGUGACUCGGAAGAGGAGGAAGAGGAUGAAGAUGAGGAACAGAUGGCCAGACAACUUCCAGUAAGAUCAGCUAUUCUGACAGGACACAUUUGAUUAUCAAAAUGUACUUGUAAACUAUGUAACAGUCAAGUGUGAAUUCUGAGAUGUAUCUAAUUUCUUGUGUUUGCUCUGUCAGGAGACACCUUCCAAGGUGACCAAUCCUCAGGUGGAGAUGGAACUUACCCCAAAGAGGAAGCGGAGCAUCUGCACACGCCGCAUGGAGGUCGCCAUCAGCCCCAUGCUAGUCUCACCCCUCAAAGUGAGGCUCAAGUCGCCCCCCCCACCAGUCCCUCAUUGUCACAUUAAAAGGGAUGCAACAACUAAACUCAAAUAAAGUCAGACUAAAAAAUGCCAUUGCCUCAAGGAGGUUAAAGCUGCAGGAGAAGGUGCAAAAGAGAGGAGGGGACCCCUGAUGCAGCUCGAAGGAAGGGGAGCCGACCAACAACAAGACUUCCUCUUCCAAAUAGUCAUGUAGAUUGUUUUAGACUCUCACAUUUAUACUGUUCUGAUUUUGUUUGGUUUGAUUUUCAAUUUUGGUGUGCUUGUUUACAUUUUAGAAGUGUAAAAUGUGUGUAAUUUAGUCUAACUGUCUGUUCAAUUUUCUAUUUUGGUGUGAUUCUUUAUAAUGUAAAGGUUUGUUCUGUUUUAUUAAAUAACUAGUUUAGUAAUUAUUUGUGUUGUGCUUUCUUUAAGGUUAUAUUCUAACUGUCUGUUCAAUUUUCUAUUUUGGUGUGAUUCUUUAUAAUGUAAAGGUUUGUUCUGUUUUAUUAAAUAACUAGUUGAGUAAUUCUUUGUGUUGUGCUUUCUUUAAGGUUUAUAUUUAGUUUGUCACUUAAUUUGUAAGUGUUAAACAUUCACUGUCUUGUGUUGUUGUCUGUGAAGGUAGGAACAAAUAUUUAGGCAUUAUUGGCAUGGGAAUCA